rnacentral:lncRNA from 1 species
UGUCAUUCGUCAACUAUGCAAAUAAUGGGAGUGCCAGUCUAGCUCCUCUAAAAUGUGUUAGCUUAGACUGGCUCUCACCUUUGACAUUUUAGAUUAAUUCGGUAGGCCCCCCAGUAGUGUUUAUUUAUUUAUUUGUAACGGAAAUAGGAGGUUUAACCGGUAGAAAAAGAAGUGGGAAGGAUACAGCAUCAACCUAGUUUACAAAAAGAUCUCUAUUAGUGUCAUGGAAAGAACUGUUAGGAACUAUAUUUUAGAUAUCUGGCCAGAAGAAUGGAACAACUCCGACAGGUACGCUUUCGAGUUCAUUCCUAAUAUUAAGCGCCUCUUUCUUGGCCAUCGCUACUCUCCAAAUUUUUUCACUUCUCCAGUCUUUACUGGUGGUGGUAAAUCGCACCGUUUUGUCUUAAAGACACUGAAUCGCGCCACUGCCACUCUGCCAGGCUCGAACCUCUUCUCGUCUCAAUUUUCACCGCCACAAAUUUGACAACUACGGAGAGCGCUCGAAAAGAAUUGUUUUACCAGCUGGCUUUAAUUGGUCCUGUUAGCUGCAAUGUUUUUUCUAUAACAAACAACUGUGGAAAAAUUUCUCCAUCUUACUCAGAUAUACUUAAUAAUGACAAACAGUUCGUGGUCAGAAACUAAGUUCCUCUUUGCCCUUGCCCUUCCGCCUUUACAAUUUUUUUUUAUCGAGUUCUCUUCCAACAUUACCACAUAUUCCUGUUUCUAUAGUUUCGUAUUUGCCACCGUUCGCGCUUGCCAGUGAUCUUCAUAUUUGACAAUUAUCAUCAUCUAGUGUGUCUCUGUUCUUGUCAAAUCUUCGUUAACCUAAUGCUUUCGCCUAAUGUUUUGUAUCCCAUUCUUCCCAACAUUUAUAUUUAUACAGUUUUAAUUUAUUGUUCAAUAUUCUACAGUUUGUAAGAUUCUACCUUUUACCUACUGUCUAAACCUAAAACUUAUCUUUUCUGCUCCAGUUUUUUUAUAGAAGAUUUGUCUACAACAAUAAACAAUUUGAACGCGUAUUCACCGUGGACUGAAACUAUCGAAUCGAUCUUUUAUCAUUUCGAUAUCUUGGUUGUCUGGAUUGUUUUCCAUUUCAUCGCAUCCGCCUGUAAUCUUUUAUGUAUUAGUUAUAUGUUUAAUUUUGUUGGUUUUAUUACUACUCUUCUUCUAGUGGCCUGUCCACUUUCUUCGGCAGGAAUCUUUAACUCAAAAUAGUAUUAGUCCAGGGCCCCCAAAAUUAACGGUCUGCCCCUGGUAUCGAUAUAACAGCCGCGUCCAAGAAAUUUUUUGAAUACUGGUGUAGCGUUCUUUUUUUUUCUAUAAAUAUACCCUCAGUCUUCCGCCGUCGGAAUCGAUCCCAGUGGCUUUCGGACCCAUGAGCUGGAUCCAACCGGAAGCGGAUAGUAAAAAAUGAAAAGGGGAUCCGAUCCUAGUGUCACUUUAAAGUCCUCAAAGUGGACCGAUAAAAUAGAACGAAAUGGAAACGGUUCGAGUCUACCUGGCGGGAACCGCACCCGAUAAUUCUUGGGCCGUGAAUGUUCCUCCUACCAUACUGGCCUGGUGAGAAUUCUUACAGGUUCCUAGGGAAUGCCCGUUACACGCUACUUUAUUUGCGAUCCAGUCUUUUAUGGUCUCGGAUUAUGCCGAUUGUUUUAAAAUUAUUAACGAUAAUAUUUCCUAUCCGAUAAACGACUGGAAUACCAUUGGGUAGUGGCUUGGGUCAGCCCAUCGUCUAACAGUUAACUCUGAAAAUACCAUUUUUACGCACUGUUUGGCCGGUCGGACAUUUUUCUGUCAGAAAGUCGAAUCUCAAUCGAAAAUACUAUCUGUCUACUUCUCGACGGAAAGAAUCGGGAAUCGCAUCACUCGCUAAACUGACGUCCACGUAUCACCUUGGAUGGGUCCGAAGCCAGAUUCAUUUUGGAUUAAGAUUAAUAUUUCCAACUAAUUUCCUCUGGAAAAGUACCUUCUACCCGGUCUCGUUCUUUUAUGGUCGGUAGUCUCAGAUACGGGGUGACCGUCUAAGUAACAUCUCGACUCUUCGGAUCCGUUCUUCGACCAAUUUGGCGGUUAAAACUUCUCCAAUAGUUCCCUUUCCUACAUGGAAAAUGUCGACAUUGCAAAUUAAAUAAAAUAGUCAUUUCCCCACAGGUAAAAAACCUGUUUGAGAAAAUUACGCUACACGCUUAUCUAGUGGAAUAUUUAAACUUCCAUCCAGAGGGAGAAACCUUUACUCCUUACUAAUUAGGUGAUAAGCGAAACCGAAAAAAUUAUAAGGUGUUGGACACAGGUUAAUACUGUGGUUAAGUCUUUUUCGGCUCGACUAAGAGAUAUUUUUGUGUAAUCGAGUAAUAGAGCCAAAAUAACGAAAGCGCGGAGAUGAUUUUACCGUAGUUCUUAAAUUUUUAUCUUCUUUCGACCGGUGAGGAUAGUUUUACGGUGGUCGAUGGUUGGACAAAUAAUUGUUACGAUCGUAUUCGAGUAUUAAUUUCUUCUGUACCGUAUUCUUACGGUCGAAUUAAGGGCAGCUAGUUGCCAGUAUUGGUCUGGAAAGUCGACUCCUGGCCACGCCUCCACCUUCGGGUCAAAUACCGGAUUCCCCUCAUUUUAUCGGCAGCCGAAAUCCGCGCCAUCUUUAUUUACUUAUACCCUUUCGUUCUCCCCUGUCCUUAAAUAAAAGAAAGACCUGUUCCGUAUCAGUUCGCUUUGGAUUUUGCAUUUCGGCCUGUUGUUUGCACUCCAUUCGAAUCGAAGAGCUACCUUAUCGGAGUCGGGUCGAUCCUCCACUCCAAAAACACCAUCAUAAAAAACGAAACAUCUUAGUUACCGUCGAAAAUAUAAGAUAACUGAGCCCCAUCUUCCGUCGCUCUCCUCUUCCCGGAAUGUACAUCUCCAUCCUAAUAAUAAUAAAUCGCAAAAAAUGGGAUGGUUCACUUCUUCCUUUUGGGUUUGUUUGUGGUCGACUUCUUCCGACCGGUGUCGGGACCUAGAACCAGGCCAACUGCAGGCAGUGACAUUAAUCGGCCCUGUCGUACCGCCACCUUCUAGCGCGUUCUUCGGUCGGCCAUUCGACCGGUAGAUAAAGGACGGGGCCAACCCCACUACCCGGAAAAAUCCUUACCAACGGAAAUCGAUGAUCGUCCUCUGGUUGAAAAAUUAGCGCCUUUCCAUCCCACUAUCUCAUCGGAUGUGGUCUCUUCUUUUGAUUUAACACCCGCGAAGAUGGUUUAUUUCGCUUCUCCGGACAGAAGUUUAUGGACUACCACGUCGUCGUAACUAUGGCGGCAUGGGCCGGCUACCCAGGCUCGAGUUUUCAGUCCAAAUGGAUUCGACACCAGAAAAUUUCUACGCGGGAUCCGCCCCGUACUCCGUUCCCUUCCACUAUAGUCUCCGCCAGGGAUGGACUGCCGAUAUCGGUACCUAGAACGAUGGGCUAGCUUUGGUCGGCCGAUGGUCCAGAAAUUGGUUACAUUUUGAUCCAAUUUCUGGACCAUCGGUCGGACCUAAAACAUUGGUAAGUCGGCCGUUUGGCCGGAUGUGGGGUGGUUUUCGGCCGCCUACUAGCGUUUCUGUCCGAUUUUCUCUUAACGAAAUAAAUAAACCGUCCCUACCGCCCAGCCGCGUCUUUUUUCCCGCCAGAGGGCCAGCGCCGAAGUUGGGAGGAUUCCCAGCCGGGAAAGACCGUAAGGUGUGGGGCCACCGUCCAGUCCGUUUUAGUUGUCGGACUCGGUGUUAGUGGUAACUGAGGCUAGAGUGGGCCCGGCCCCUCCGGCUGGAGGGGGUAGUCGGUUCUGGACCCGAGUGCCCUUCCCACGGGCUGCAGCGCGGCGGUUUCAGCCGGAAGAUUUGAAAUUUUUCGGUCAUCUGGCUUCAUUCUACUUGCCGAACGCUUUAUCAAAAAGGGAUAAAGCGCGGCGUUCCAAUGUCCAUUAAAAUUUAAAUGAAUCCGGCGCCGGUCACAAAGCGGCGUUUUAGCAUGCCGCGCAGCCACCGCUAUAUUGUUACCGCCGAAAUGAAUCGAACGGCGUAAUGCCAGCGCCGUCUAAGCUAAUUUCUGCUGAAAAUGCAACAGGAGACUCCCGCGCCCCCCGCCGCUCCGCGUUGGAAUUCAAACUCUCCCGGCAUAAAAAACCGCCCGGCCAUUGUGUAGCGGCGAAUUUGCAUCUUUCCUUCCCCGCCUUUAAUUGGCCCGCCCCGGCCGCCCUUCCCUGGCCCCGGCUGACGGCCAACCUGAGGAAAAAGCGUCUGACCCCCGCCAGACCCUAGAUGUCGGACGGAAGGGAGGCCUACCACCUGUCGAACGCGUAUUCCCGUCGUUUAUCGGCAGCCAUUACUGGUGCCCUUAUUCCGAUGUCUCGGGCCAGGCCUAGACACGGGUCGUCCUUUAUCGGGAGUAACCCAUUUUUAUUUACCCACCAUGACUGGAAAUGGAAUCCAAAUCUUUUUACCGGUCCUUCCGAUUUCUGUCGGCCCAUCCUUACCGGCAAUACGUGCGACGGAUUCCCGAGGACUCCCUCCUCCUUCGGAAACUUGUGGUGGAAAAGUGGGGCCGCAGCUACCGGGAAGAGAGAAUAAUAUAUGUUUACCCAACGGUACUUGGAUUGUUCGUUAGACUCGUCGAUGGUUAGACUGGAUGGCCGCCUCUUUCCACCCGCCCUCGACAAUUCGGAAUCCGAUAUUCGAUCACCGCAGCACUCACUCACUCCGGCUGUGACUAAAAAGCGUCGUUCCGCGGCCCGUGGUCCGGGGGCGCGGCUGCCAUCCGGCCCGCUUUCACCUUCACUUUUCCUUAGAUUAAGGGCAGUGUCGACGGCGCGCCGACAUCCCAUUCGAUUCUCGCCUCCGAUACCGACACUUACCGCUGAUGGCUAGAAAAAACCAUAAUUACCUACCGUCCCCACCUUCGGUGUCCUAGGGCAAAAAAAUCGAGUAAGAUGCCAUCGGUUUUUUUGGUCACGUAGCAGCCGGCUGCCGACGUGACUGUCACCCAGCGCGUCUCGAGUGUCGCAUCUCGUGUCGAUAAUGAUUUAUUCAACACGUCACCCGGGGGCGGAAGGUCACAGCUGCGCCCGGCCACCGCAUUAGCACCCAGUCCACCCGCUUCCCUUCGGCGAAGGUCCAUUUCCGCGGUAGCCAGACUGGGCUGGUGGAACGCUGCUUCCGGAAAUUCCUUUUUCCGGUGGAAUCGCGGCUCUCCACGGCUUUUAUUUCCGUUCGUCUGUCCGUAGCGGUGGUCGGUCUAGGUCCAGGCCGGACCAAUUACCCAGCCUAAACGUUCCGAAGUUGGAAGUCUGUAGUCCUUUCUGCCGGGCCAGCCAUCUGAAGCCGAACCGUCAUCUAGCCGAGAAGGGGACGGGGCCGAGCCCGAGGCGACUUUGGGGCUGCUACGUCAUGGUAGGAAGGAGCCAAUGGCGGAGCGCUUAACCGUUCGGAAGAAUUAAACCGGCGUCCCCGGCCACGCGGCUGCCUAUCGAACAUCGGUGUGCGACAGUAAAACUCGCGUGGAGGGCGCUACUGCCGUCGGAAUCGGAGGAGUCACGUGUCAAGCGGGGCCGUGGUCGGCCUGUCAUUCUUCUCAUAACCGGAGUCUCUUUUCAGCGGUCGGCAGCCCGGCCCGACCGAUGCUCGCCUUGCGCCAUGUGGGGACAGACGGCGGAUGCCGUCUCCCGGAGUUCUCGCCCUUCUCCCACUUCCAGCCUUCGGAAUUGUCGACCGACUUGGCCUUCACCCACUCCUGGUGAGUACCCGUUUUUCAGUCCAAAGGAACGGUCGCUCCAACGCGCCUCUUCGGCCUGGGUCCCCGAAAAGGAUUACCAGCGGAGACGGUCCGACCGACGGCCAGGCGACGUGUGGGACGAGGAACACGGUUGGCUAGGUCGAUGUGGAGCGGCGGAAGGAGCGGGCGUGGGGCCGCCGCUUCCCUCGUCCUGAGGGAAAUUAUCCCGGUCCGAGGCGGAAUGAUUUAACCCGAAGAGGGAAUCCGGCCAACGGGAGGCCGUGCGCCAGGGAAGAAGCGGAAGUCGGCCCCCACCCGGCCUCUGCCCAUCUUUAAUGUAAGUUUUCCCGCCCUCCGGGAGUUCGGCCCAAUUUUUCGGGAACCGGGUCCGAUGAUCCUUCCCCGUCCGCCGCCCUCCCAGUCCUUUCCUCUUGGGUAGGUGGGAGCCGACAGGUUGGCUCCUUCCUAAUCCCCUGUCACAGACGAGACCGUGUUACUUAACUUCCCCUCGUUUCAUCGGGCAGCCCGUCGGGGACCGACCGCCGGUGACUACCCGUCCGAUGCCUGGCAGAGCCUUUAACCGGGAAUUCCCGAGCGGCGGAGGCGGACCGGGCGACCGGAUGCCGAAAGGGUGGAAAGGGAAGACGUGGCCGGGGGGAGGUGAGGCCACCGCUAAGAGGAAAGUUUGUGGUGGGGUGGCAAAGAAAGAAGAGAUACAACACUCGAUCCGAGGCGUUAUUACCGCUUUCCGGUCCCGUCCCCGGAGAGACGGCGGUAACGAAAUUGCGGAAAAGACUUGGGGAAGGUUGGAUCGGGGACCCUCGGGGAUCGGCCCGGAUCGACGCUGGCGACGACGAAACUAGAGACGGGGAGGAGGAAAGCGGUCUACCCCGGCUGGCAGUCGAUUUUUUCCGCGGGUCCCGCUUCCGGUUGGCGACCGCGGGGUGGGUCACUUCCCCAUAAUUUCAUAGGUGACCGUCUUCUUUCUACUUUCAGUGUCUUGGAAAUGAGAAAAGAGAAGUCGCGCGACGCGGCCCGAUCUCGGAGGGGCAA